rnacentral:lncRNA from 12 species
AAAACAAGCUAUUUAAUUGAGCUAUUAAAUUUCAGGUCUGCUUCCCACAGCUGCUGCUGGCUCAAUAUACAUUUUGCAAAAGAAAGGAUGCAAGGAUUCGGAGAAGGAGGCACCUUCGAGAAGCUGUAGACCCACCAAAAUGUUCCCCAGCUUGCUCACAUGUGCUAACCUCGGCCUCCACCCUGACCACACCCACCCCUCCUGUACCUUCUCAUCCAACAAGCCUGCACCUGUGAUCUGAACACACUCAGCGCUCACCCAGCACACACAUCUCCGCGUGCAAAACCCAACCAAACUGAUGGUGGACGCUGUGGGAAAGAGGCAGGAAUGGAGAAUGUGGUUAGCGAGGUCAUGGGGUCUCCACUGUCUACUUUGUACACAAAUUUCUACUCGAUAUCAAAGAGAUAUGACACAAUCUUUGAGGGCUUGUUCUUGGCAACACUAAGCGCCCUGGAAACUCUUGCUGGGCUGAAACUCAGAAGCAGCAUAGAGAAGGGCCGGUGCCCUCAAGAUCUCAGGCCGAGGGUAUUAUGGAUGUCUCUGCCUGGACUCUUCUUAGGGUGGGCACUCAUGCAGAUCGUUGCCUUACGUGAGGCAAAGGCGAUCCUGACUGCUUUGCUUUGA